GACGAACGCUGGCGGCGUGCUUAACACAUGCCAGUCGAACGGAAAGGCCCUGCUUUUGCGGGGUUCUCGAGUGGCGAACGUGUGUGUAACACGUGAGUAUCCCUCCCUUGACUUUGUGAUAUCUUCAGGAAACUGGGGCUAAUACCUGAUAGGAGCUCCUGCUGCAUGGGGGGGGUUGGAAAGUUUCGGCUGUUGUGGAUAGACUCGCGGCUUACCAGCUUGUUGGGUGGGUAGUGGCUUACCAAGCCUUAGACGGAUAGCCUGCCUGGGAGGGGGAACAGGGACAAUGGGACUAAGAGACGCAGCAGACUGGUACGGGAGGCAGCAGUCGAGAGUAUGACACAAUGAGGGGGAGCCUGAUACAGAAGUGCCGGGUGCGGAAUGACGGCCUUCGGGUUGUGAACCGCUUUCGCCUGUGACGAAGCGUGAGUGACGGUAAUGGGUAAAGAAGCACCGGCUAACUACGUG
rnacentral:rRNA from 1 species